CUUCUCCAUCUCCUACACACUCUGAAAUAAUCUGUCAGAAGAUCCUCAUCCUGCCGUGCUGGCUUACUCUGGAUCAAGAGACAAAGACUCCAGCUCUAUCUCUGAUGGACCGAGUAGGAAGAAUCAGCAUGAGUCAACCCACCAGGUUUCCCAGAGCUUAAUCCAGAAGGGACCCAAACACUAGGGGGGAAAUUUGAACACAGAGACAUGCAUAGAGGGAAGGUGAUGUGAAGAUGAAGGCAGAGAUCCAGGUGAUGCUUCUAUGCACCAAGAACACUACAGAUUACCAGCAAACCAUCAGAAGCUAGGGGACAGGCAUGGAGCAGAUUCU
rnacentral:lncRNA from 1 species